rnacentral:tRNA from 1 species
GGGUCUGAUGACAAAUGGCGAGUCACCCGGCUGUAACCCGGUGCGAAAGCAACAAGGUUCGAUUCCUUGCAGACCCAC